UCCCUCCCUCCCUCUCUCACCAUUUCCUCUCUCACCAUUAAAGCUUAAAAAACGUCGAAGAAGCUUCAAUUCACUCGAUUAUUCAAUGAUUUCAAGUAGUUUGUCAUCGAAUUCUUGUAUAUUUCUUCCUUUUUUCUACAAUUUUCGUCAACUUUAACCUUUUUUUUAAUUUUUAUACAAUUGAAGAUGAAGAAGCAGAAAAAUCAUAAAAUCAGGCCGAAAAACCUACGUACAGAGAAGGGAAGAAUCUGGAGCUAACCUCGAUGGGAAAACUGAAGCUAUUGUCAAUUAUGAUGUCUUCAAUUAUGUGUUGGGUGUAGUUAUGUAUAUUGCGUGUGUUACUUGCAUGUGUGUGUGCUCUUUUAUGUGUAUCUAUGUCAAUUCAGAAAUUAUUAUUGUAUUUGUUAUGAAGUCUAAUUUUUGUUUCUUUACAAUGAUUUAGUAAUGAAUAAUGAACAACUUGCCUGGAGAUUGAUAAGUUGGAUAGUAAAGAUAGCUUAUUGUUGAGUGUCACGUGGGUGAGUUACAUUGGGUUCUUUAACUCAUGUAGCAAGGCGGCGUGUUGUCGAUUAUUGAUGGCUGCCUGGGCAUUAUGGAACAAGACACAUGUUGCUGAGGAAGUGGAGCUCUCUAUUGUUUGAUAUGUGGAAUUACAACUUGUACAUAAGUAUAGUAUUUAGCACGAUUCUCAAAUAUCAAAUAUUGAAGCUCGUAACCUUUCCGGUGGUAUUAUGUUUUGAAUCAUUAAUGCUUA